GACUUAUUCAGAGAGGUGGAGGGACUGGCCCUAUGAAGCCCGGCAGCGGAUCUGUUCCAUGUGAUGGACAGAUGCUGUGCCAAUUCCAGCAGGAUUUUUUUUCCUGACAGAUAAGGA
rnacentral:ncRNA from 2 species